AGCGAACGCUGGCGGCAGGCUUAACACAUGCAAGUCGAGCGGGCACUUCGGUUUUAGCGGCAGACGGGUGAGUAACACGUGGGAACGUACCCUUUGGUUCGGAAUAACGCUGGGAAACUAGCGCUAAUACCGGAUACGCCCUUUUGGGGAAAGGCUUGUUGCCGAAGGAUCGGCCCGCGUCAGAUUAGCUAGUUGGUGGGGUAAUGGCCUACCAAGGCGACGAUCAGUAGCUGGGCUGAGAGGAUGAUCAGCCACACUGGGACUGAGACACGGCCCCGACUCCUCCGGGAGGCAGCAGUGGGGAAUACUGGACAAUAGGCGCAAGCCUGAUCCAGCCAUGCCGCGUGAGUGAUGAAGGCCUUAGGGUUGUAAAGCUCUUUUGACCGGGACGAUAAUGACGGUACCGGAAGAAUAAGCCCCGGCUAACUUCGUG
rnacentral:rRNA from 1 species